UACGAAGGGGGCGAGCGUUGUUCGGAUUUACUGGGCGUAAAGGGCGCGCAGGCGGCUCAUUUUGUCAGGCGUGAAAGCCCCGGGCUUAACCUGGGAACUGCGCUUGAGACGGGUGGGCUAGAGAUCGGGAGAGGAGAGUGGAAUUCCCGGUGUAGCGGUGAAAUGCGCAGAUAUCGGGAGGAACACCUAUGGCGAAGGCAGCUCGCUGGGACGUUACUGACGCUGAGACGCGAAAGCGUGGGGAGCAAACAGG
rnacentral:rRNA from 1 species